UACGGGGGGGGCAAGCGUUGUUCGGAAUUACUGGGCGUAAAGGGCUCGUAGGCGGCCAAUUAAGUCGGAUGUGAAAUCCCCAGGCUCAACCUGGGAACUGCAUCCGAUACUGGAUGGCUUGAAUCCGGGAGAGGGAUGCAGAAUUCCAGGUGUAGCGGUGAAAUGCGUAGAUAUCUGGAGGAAUACCGGUGGCGAAGGCGGCAUCCUGGACCGGCAUUGACGCUGAGGAGCGAAAGCUAGGGGAGCAAACGGG
rnacentral:rRNA from 1 species